GGGGGUAUAGCUCAGUGGUAGAGCAGAUGCUUGGCAUGCACAAGUUCCUAGGUUCAAUCCCCAGUACCUCUG
rfam:Camelus ferus unplaced genomic scaffold scaffold184, whole genome shotgun sequence.